CAGUUCUGAGAGCAAACAGGAGCUUCAGCAGCAGGAUUCACAGGGCUUCAGGAGCCAAGCAGAGGGCAGAGAAGCCGGGGAGGGCUUUUCUUAAGGUAUGAAUAAUGCAUGAUCGCUGCAGCAACCAGGGCAACAUCAACAACCAUAUCAGAUGAGCCCGUUGCUCAGACGGGGCCAGCUCUGAGAUCCCGCUACUCAUCCUGUUUUUCUGGCAUGAUGUGCUGUGAUACUACAGACUCAAAGCAGCAGUGACAAGAGACCACAGAAUGGAAUUUUGACAUCACCCAGAAGAAAUGGUUUUCAAUCGACAAUACAAACCAUUUGGAUGUGUCCAUGGUGGAGAAGAGCCACAGUGUAAUUAUUAGCCUCAGGUCUCUAACCUGGAGAUGCUCUAAGUAGCUGUGUGUUUGGAAACAGAAAGCACAGAGCAUGCAGAGACAAGGAACACUGCCUUAGAAGUGACUGCCAGACUCCCAGGGUCAGACGCUUCCUGGAAGCAAGCUCUCCUCUGCCAGGAAAGGUACACAGAGGGCUGCGGAACAGCCCUACAUCCUGGGUGCAGAUGUAAGCACCUAGGACCCUGUCUCAGCUGUUCUGUUGCUUCUGCGGCCUGUGGAUGGAUACAGAAAAUGUGAUACAUUCACACAAUGGAGUAUUACACAGCUAUUAAAAGGAAUGAAUUCAUAAAAUUCUUAGGCAAAUGGAUGUGUCUGGAUUGAGGUAACCCAACCACAAAAGAACACACAUGAUAUGCACUCACUGAUAAGUGAAUAUUAGCCCAGAAGCUCAGAAUAUCCAAGAUAGAAUUUGUAAAACACAUGAAACUCAAGAAGAAGGAAGACCAAAGUGUGGAUACUUCAAACCUUCUUAGAAGGGGGAACAAAAUACCCACGGAAAGAGUUACAGAGACCAAGUGUGGAGCAGAGACUGAAGGAAUGACCAUCCGGAGACUGACCCACCUGGGGAUACAUCCCAUAAACAACCACCAAAACCAACACUAUUGUGGAUGCCAAAAAGAGCUAGCUGACAGGAUCCUGAUAUAGCUGCAUCCUGAGAGGCUUUGCAAGUGUCUGGCAAAUACAGAAGUGGAUGCUUACAGUCAUCUAUUGGACUGAGCACAGGGUCCCCAAUGAAGGAACUAGAGAAAGUACCCCAAGAGCUAAAGGGAUUUGCAGCCCCAUAGGAGGAACAACAAUAUGAACUAACCAGUACGUGCAGAGCUCCCAGAGACUAAACCACCAACCAAAGAAAAUACAUGGUGAGACUCAUGUCUCUACCUGCAUAUGUAGCAGAGGAUGGCCUAGUCGGUCAUCAAUGGAAGGAGAGGUCCUUGGUCCUGUGAAGGCUCUAUGCCCCAGUGUGGGAGAAUGCCAGGGCCAGGAAUGGGAGUGAGUGGGUUUGUGAGCUGAGGGGGGGGGAGGGUUAGGGGGGUUUUGGAGAAAAAAAUAGGAAAGGGGAUAACAUUUGAAAUGUAAAUAAUGAAAAUAUCUAAUAAAAAAUAAUAAAGUU
ensembl:processed_transcript